rnacentral:rRNA from 1 species
ACGGAAGGCAGCAGUAGGGAAUAUUGGUCAAUGGGGGAAACCCUGAACCAGCGACGCCGCGUGAGUGAAGAAGUAUUUCGGUAUGUAAAGCUCUAUCAGCAGGGACGAUAAUGACGGUACCUGACUAAGAAGCCCCGGCUAACUACGUGCCAGCAGCCGCGGUAAUACGUAGGGGGCAAGCGUUAUCCGGAUUUACUGGGUGUAAAGGGAGCGUAGACGGCUUUGCAAGUCUGAAGUGAAAGCCCGGGGCUCAACCCCGGAACUGCUUUGGAAACUGUAGAGCUAGAGUGCAGGAGAGGUAAGUGGAAUUCCUAGUGUAGCGGUGAAAUGCGUAGAUAUUAGGAGGAACACCAGUGGCGAAGGCGGCUUACUGGACUGUAACUGACGUUGAGGCUCGAAGGCGUGGGGAGCAAACAGGAUUAGAUACCCUGGUA